CAAAGCUUGAAUGCCUGUAUUAAUAUUUUCUCAUCAGUAAAACUCCUCUGAUCUUUAGAGUGAACAAAAAUGACACCCUGGAUAAACCUCAUGUUGUUAUUAGCAGUCCUCAGAGGUGUCCAGUCAGAGGUCCAGUUGGUGGAGUCUGGAGGGGAUGUGAGAAGACCCGGAGAUUCCCUCCGCCUCUCCUGCCAAGGCUCUGGAUUCACCUUCAGCAGCUAUGCUAUGCACUGGGUGAGACAAAGUCCAGGGAAAGGACUGGAAUGGGUGGCAUACAUAUGGUAUGAUUCCAGUAAUAAAUACUAUUCAGAGAAAGUCAAGGGACGUUUCACCAUCUCCAGGGACAAUGCCAAAAGUCAGCUGUUUCUGCAGAUGGACAACCUGAAAGAAGAAGACAUAGCGGUCUAUUACUGUGCGAGAGACACAUCAGAAGCCAGUUUCAUGGAGUCUGGAGGGGAUGUGAGAAGACGUGGAGACUACCUCCGCCUCUCCUGCCAAGGCUCUGGAUUCAGUUUCAGCAGCUAUAGCAUGGACUGG